rnacentral:rRNA from 1 species
GAUGAACGCUGGCGGCGUGCCUAAUACAUGCAAGUCGAGCGAACAGAUGAGGAGCUUGCUCCUCUGACGUUAGCGGCGGACGGGUGAGUAACACGUGGAUAACCUACCUAUAAGACUGGGAUAACUUCGGGAAACCGGAGCUAAUACCGGAUAAUAUAUUGAACCGCAUGGUUCAAUAGUGAAAGACGGUUUUGCUGUCACUUAUAGAUGGAUCCGCGCCGCAUUAGCUAGUUGGUAAGGUAACGGCUUACCAAGGCAACGAUGCGUAGCCGACCUGAGAGGGUGAUCGGCCACACUGGAACUGAGACACGGUCCAGACUCCUACGGGAGGCAGCAGUAGGGAAUCUUCCGCAAUGGGCGAAAGCUUGACGGAGCAACGCCGCGUGAGUGAAGAAGGUCUUCGGAUUGUAAAACUCUGUUAUUAGGGAAGAACAAAAGUGGAAGUAACUAUGCACGUCUUGACGGUACCUAAACAGAAAGCCACGGCUAACUACGUG